CGGCGGACGGGUGAGUAACACGUGGGUAACCUACCUAUAAGACUGGGAUAACUUCGGGAAACCGGAGCUAAUACCGGAUAACAUUUGGAACCGCAUGGUUCUAAAGUGAAAGAUGGUUUUGCUAUCACUUAUAGAUGGACCCGCGCCGUAUUAGCUAGUUGGUAAGGUAACGGCUUACCAAGGCGACGAUACGUAGCCGACCUGAGAGGGUGAUCGGCCACACUGGAACUGAGACACGGUCCAGACUCCUACGGGAGGCAGCAGUAGGGAAUCUUCCGCAAUGGGCGAAAGCCUGACGGAGCAACGCCGCGUGAGUGAUGAAGGGUUUCGGCUCGUAAAACUCUGUUAUUAGGGAAGAACAAAUGUGUAAGUAACUGUGCACAUCUUGACGGUACCUAAUCAGAAAGCCACGGCUAACUACGUGCCAGCAGCCGCGGUAAUACGUAGGUGGCAAGCGUUAUCCGGAAUUAUUGGGCGUAAAGCGCGCGUAGGCGGUUUCUUAAGUCUGAUGUGAAAGCCCACGGCUCAACCGUGGAGGGUCAUUGGAAACUGGGAAACUUGAGUGCAGAAGAGGAAAGUGGAAUUCCAUGUGUAGCGGUGAAAUGCGCAGAGAUAUGGAGGAACACCAGUGGCGAAGGCGACUUUCUGGUCUGUAACUGACGCUGAUGUGCGAAAGCGUGGGGAUCAAACAGGAUUAGAUACCCUGGUAGUCCACGCCGUAAACGAUGAGUGCUAAGUGUUAGGGGGUUUCCGCCCCUUAGUGCUGCAGCUAACGCAUUAAGCACUCCGCCUGGGGAGUACGACCGCAAGGUUGAAACUCAAAGGAAUUGACGGGGACCCGCACAAGCGGUGGAGCAUGUGGUUUAAUUCGAAGCAACGCGAAGAACCUUACCAAAUCUUGACAUCCUUUGAAAACUCUAGAGAUAGAGCCUUCCCCUUCGGGGGACAAAGUGACAGGUGGUGCAUGGUUGUCGUCAGCUCGUGUCGUGAGAUGUUGGGUUAAGUCCCGCAACGAGCGCAACCCUUAAGCUUAGUUGCCAUCAUUAAGUUGGGCACUCUAGGUUGACUGCCGGUGACAAACCGGAGGAAGGUGGGGAUGACGUCAAAUCAUCAUGCCCCUUAUGAUUUGGGCUACACACGUGCUACAAUGGACAAUACAAAGGGCAGCUAAACCGCGAGGUCAUGCAAAUCCCAUAAAGUUGUUCUCAGUUCGGAUUGUAGUCUGCAACUCGACUACAUGAAGCUGGAAUCGCUAGUAAUCGUAGAUCAGCAUGCUACGGUGAAUACGUUCCCGGGUCUUGUACACACCGCCCGUCACACCACGAGAGUUUGUAACACCCGAAGCCGGUGGAGUAACCAUUUAUGGAGCUAGCCGUCGAAGSUGGGACAA
rnacentral:rRNA from 1 species